rnacentral:rRNA from 1 species
GACGGACGCUGGCGGCGUGCUUAACACAUGCAAGUCGAACGGAAAGGCCCUGCUUUUGUGGGGUGCUCGAGUGGCGAACGGGUGAGUAACACGUGAGUAACCUGCCCUUGACUUUGGGAUAACUUCAGGAAACUGGGGUUAAUACCGGAUAGGAGCUCCUGCUGCAUGGUGGGGGUUGGAAAGUUUCGGCGGUUGGGGAUGGACUCGCGGCUUAUCAGCUUGUUGGUGGGGUAGUGGCUUACCAAGGCUUUGACGGGUAGCCGGCCUGAGAGGGUGACCGGCCACAUUGGGACUGAGAUACGGCCCAGACUCCUACGGGAGGCAGCAGUGGGGAAUAUUGCACAAUGGGCGGAAGCCUGAUGCAGCAACGCCGCGUGCGGGAUGACGGCCUUCGGGUUGUAAACCGCUUUCGCCUGUGACGAAGCGUGAGUGACGGUAAUGGGUAAAGAAGCACCGGCUAACUACGUG